rnacentral:tRNA from 1 species
GGGGUUGUGGCUCAGUGGUAGAGUAUUUACCUGGAAUGUGUGAGGCACUGGGUUCAAUUCUCAGCACCA